CUCUGUGACUCCUACGGGAGGCAGCAUGGGGAAUAUUGCACAAUGGGGGAAACCCUGAUGCAGCCAUGCCGCGUGUGUGAAGAAGGCCUUCGGGUUGUAAAGCACUUUCAGUAGGGAGGAAGGUAGUGUAGUUAACACCUGCAUUAUUUGACGUUACCUACAGAAGAAGCACCGGCUAACUCCGUGCCAGCAGCCGCGGUAAUACGGAGGGUGCGAGCGUUAAUCGGAAUUACUGGGCGUAAAGCGCAUGCAGGCGGCCUGUUAAGUCAGAUGUGAAAGCCCCGGGGCUUAACCUCGGAAUUGCAUUUGAAACUGGCAGGCUAGAGUCUUGUAGAGGGGGUAGAAUUUCAGGUGUAGCGGUGAAAUGCGUAGAGAUCUGAAGGAAUACCAGUGGCGAAGGCGGCCCCCUGGACAAAGACUGACGCUCAGAUGCGAAAGCGUGGGGAGCAAACAGGAUUAGAUACCCUGGUAA
rnacentral:rRNA from 1 species